UGCACUAUCGAAGGGUUGAGCAACAGAUUUCUAAUCUGUAGGUCUUUGGUUCGAAUCCAAAUGGGAUCA
rnacentral:tRNA from 1 species